rnacentral:misc_RNA from 1 species
GAUGAAGAACGUAGCGAAACGCGAUAGUUAAUGUGAAUUGCAGAAUUCAGUGAAUCAUCGAAUCUUUGAACGCACAUUGCGCCCAUUAGUAUUCUAGUGGGCAUGCCUGUUCGAGCGUCAUUUCAACCCUUAAGCCUAGCUUAGUGUUGGGAAUCUGCUGUAUUGCAGUUCCUCAAAUACAACGGCGGAUCUGUAACAUCCUCUGAGCGUAGUAAAUUUUUAUCUCGCUUUUGUUAGGUGUUGCAGCUCUCAGCCGCUAAACCCCCCAAUUUUUGUGGUUGACCUCGGAUCAGGUAGGAAUACCCGCUGAACUUAAGCAUAUCAAUAAGCGGAGGA